rnacentral:tRNA from 1 species
GCGGGAUUAGUUUAGUGGCAGAACGACUGCUUCCCAAGCAGUAGAUACGAGUUCGAUUCUCGUAUCCCGCACAA